GGGCCAAUAGCUCAGUUGGCUAGAGCCUCCGGCUCAUAACCGGGAGGUCCUAGGUUCGAUUCCUAGUUGGCCCA
rnacentral:tRNA from 2 species